ensembl:ncRNA asRNA:CR45907 antisense RNA:CR45907
GUAUGCAUGUGAGUGUGAGUGUGACAGUGGGUGUACGUGUGCUUUAAGCGACACAAUCGCACCGCGAUGUACAUAUUUUUGUAGAAAUGUGUGUGCAUUUUUCGUCCGGAUCACGGCUCCAUAAAAUAAAUCAUAUCACAGGGCUCAGGGAUUUGUGAGUAGAAGUUCCCGCCACUUAAACGUCACUUGUGAAAUCGCCAUCGACGGUCAACUUUUACUCACACUGGUCUUCCGCGGACGGACCGUCUCAAAGUACUGCCUUUCUGCGUUGGAAAACAUCGCCUUUUUCGUCCAAAAGGAGUCCCCAGGUUCGAUCCGCAUGGCGUUGUGCGUGCGUGCCUUUCUUUUCAAAUGAUUACGGCUAUUAACUUGGGGGCGUUAAGUUGGAAACACGUAAAUUGCAGACUGCGAUUAGAGUGACCAUGAGUAGGAGUUCAAAAUCUCCUGACAUCAUUUUCUUAAAACCUGCUUUGUUUUUUAC